rnacentral:rRNA from 1 species
CGAGCGCAACCGUCGUGAUUAGUUGCUAACAGUUCGGCUGAGCACUCUAAUCAGACUGCCUUCGCAAGGAGGAGGAAGGUGAGGACGACGUCAAGUCAUCAUGGCCCUUAUGGCCAGGGCUACACACGUGCUACAAUGGCUAGGACAAAGAGAGCGAUACUGCGAAGUGGAGCAAAUCUUAAAACCUAGUCUCAGUUCGGAUUGGAGUCUGCAACUCGACUCCAUGAAGCUGGAAUCGCUAGUAAUCGUAGAUCAGAUAUGCUACGGUGAAUACGUUCCCGGGUCUUGUACUCACCGCCCGUCACACCAUGGGAGUUGAAUUCACCCGAAGCCGGAAUACUAAACUAGUUACCGACCACGGUGGGUUCAGCGACUGGGGUGAAGUCGUAACAAGGUAACC